rnacentral:rRNA from 1 species
AUUUCAGCUCCUGCAAGCUUAGGAAAGUCUCAUGUUCCACAUUUAGAAUGGAAGAUUCAUGACUUCUCAGCGCUACUUGAGACAGGAGCUACGUCGGCAAAAUCUUCUCAUUUUCACUACUCCGGGUAUAAGUGGUUCCUGAAAGUGAUACCAAUGCAUAAAAAACCUGGCGCUGAAACACCAUAUGUUGGUCUUUGUCUUAAGCUAGGCUCCAAAACCCUGGAGCCGUGUGACACGGUAAAUGCAGUGUUUGAGUUAUCAGUAUACAAUCGUGCAAAGAGGGUAUAUUGUGGACGCAGAGCUAGCCAUAACUUUGAUUUGAACAAUACACACUCGAAGAAUGAAUGUUUGAUUCCUCUUCAGGAGCUACUAAAAUCAUCUGCUUUUCUAGUUGAUGAUAGCUGUGUCUUUGGUGUUAAGAUAUUGAAAAUUAAAUUAUUUUCUACUGAAAAGAAGGCUGCUGUGGUUCCGAAGAAGGUUACCACAGUACAGAACCUUUUUAUCCAGAAGAAAGGGCUCAUCAAAGGGACCUACACCUGGACCAUGGACAACUACCAUGAAUUGGACUCGAAACGCUUUGUUUGUUCUCCUACAUUUGAAGCCGGUGGACAUAAAUGGCAUGUUGGCAUGUAUCCGCAUGGUCGCAGAAACAUCACCAACCAUGUCUCCUUGUUCUUAUACCUGGAGUCCUCGGAUAAGCUCUGUGACGAGUCUGGGAAGGUAGUUGAAUUGACUCUGUCCAUCUUGGACCAAAAGAACGGGAAACACUCCACCAUAACUUCAGCAGGUCUCUUGGUGUUUGGAGGUGAAAGCAGCUGGGGAUGGCCCAAGUUCCUUACAGUAAAAAAAUUCAAGAAUCCGUCGAGAGGCUAUGUUGUAGGAUCAAGAUGUGUCGUCAAGACAGAUUUCACUAUCGUUGGCUCAUCCAAUGAUGGAUAG